rnacentral:misc_RNA from 1 species
GAAAAACAUGAGAUUUUUGGUUUUAAAUUAAAUUUAAAACUUUAGUUGUGUAUGAUUGAUUUAAAAUAGAGUUAGUUUUAAGUAGUUGAAAAUUUUAAAUAAUGUAGCAUGAAAUGAGCUGAUAGAAAAUGCAUAAAAUAUUAUGUAACUUCUUUAAUAAUCUUGUUCACCUAGGUCUUUCAAGUAACAAGAAAUAAGGAGAAUUUUUUAUUAUCAUGGAAUUUAAUUAUGA